CCGCCGCCGCCACUCGGGCCGCCAGGCUCCGCCGACCGGAAGCGCCGCCCUCAAGCCCCACCCCUUCGCGGGGGGGGGGCGUGACGCCAGCGCUGGGUGUGACGUCAUCGGCGCGCGAGAGCGCCGCCCGGGUCGGAGGCUUCUGAGGAGAAGCGAGAGGGGACUUUGAGGGCUUAGUGACGGUGUCCGCACGGUCAUGAUGUCACAGCGGUGAAGCUGCAGCAUCGUACACUCCAGAGCAGCUAGCCUGCCGGAUUCCAGGGCUGGUUCCGUUCUCCAUCUCCCGUCUUGCCUUGGAUUGCUGGGGUUGCUGGUGUGCCCACCGAAUUCAGGUGUCCAGAAAACACCACGCAGAUGACCCGGCAACUGAAAGGAGUCUGCUCUCCCGGAGGAGGAGGACUAGCCUGAGCCUCACGCUACUACAGGACCCGAGGUGACCUCUCUCACAAUGCCGAUAUCUCAUCUCCAACUCUGGUGACUGCCAGUGCCCUAGGUAACUCAACAUUUCUCCAUGUGUAUGUUUCUUAAAUCCUCUUAUAAUUAGCCAUUUUAGUUUUUAAAUACAGGGUUUCUUUGUGUAAUCACCCUGGCUGGCCUUGAACUCACGGAGAUCCGCCUGCCUCUGCCUCCCGAGUGCUGGGAUUAAAGGUGUGCCCCACCCUCAGCUAUAACUAGACAUUGUUUUCCAGAGCUGAGGACGGAACCCAGGGCCUUGUGCUUGCUAGGCAUGCGCUCUACACUGAGCUGAACCCCAGCCCCUAUAACUAGAAUUAUUCAUGACACUUAAUAUUUCACUUGGUUUACUCCUAAGUGAUAAAGUACUAAUCUUUGUUUUAAUGAAGUCACAAAUGAGGGGGUUUUCUUUUGUUAGUCAUGUUUUUUUAUGACUGACUGUUUACCCCCUCCCUGCUUUACUUAAAAUUAGUUUUGUCUAAAAGAUUCAAAUGUUUUCACUGUCUUUGUGACGAAUA